rnacentral:tRNA from 1 species
GGAGGAUUGGUCGAGUGGCCUAUGGCACCAGCUUGGAAAGUUGGCGAAGCGCAAGCUUCCGAGGGUUCGAAUCCCUUGUCCUCCGCCA